ACGAGUUAGGGUCUUCCAGGCCCGACCUCCCAACCCUUUGUUUACCGAACCUCUGUUGCUUCGGCGGAUCCGUCUCACGACCGCCGGAGGGCUCGCCGAGAGGCGUCCUCUGGCCCGUGUCCGCCGACAGCCAACCACUUAAAACUCUGGAUAAAUCAUGUCGUAUGUCUAAGUCUAUGAUUAAAUAAAGCA
rnacentral:misc_RNA from 1 species